rnacentral:rRNA from 1 species
AGGAUCAUUAUCGAAGUCUAUGACCUCCAUUACACCUGUGCACCUGUCUGUAGGUCUUCGAAAGGGGAUCUAUGUAUUCGAAUCACGCUCGCUAUGUAUGGCAUGAGAGUAUAUAAUAUAAUAUAUACAACUUUCAGCAACGGAUCUCUUGGCUCUCGCAUCGAUGAAGAACGCAGCGAAUUGCGAUAAGUAAUGUGAAUUGCAGAUUUUCAGUGAAUCAUCGAAUCUUUGAACGCACCUUGCGCUCCUUGGUAUUCCGAGGAGCAUGUCUGUUUGAGUGUCGUCGAGUUCUCAACCAAGCCCUUGGGUUUGGCUUGGAUCUGGAGGCUGCUGGCGGAGGUCGGCUCUUCUGAAAUGCAUUAGCGAUCGGACCUACUACGGCCUUCCGGCGUGAUAACGAUCGUCGACGGGCUGGGACUGGCUUUGGUCGCUUCCAACGAUAUAUAUUAUAAUAUAUGCUUGACCUCAAAUCAGGCAGGACUACCCGCUGAACUUAAGCAUAUCAAUAAGCGGAGGAAAAGAAACUAACAAGGAUUCCCCUAGUAACUGCGAGUGAAGCGGGACGAGCUCAAAUUUUGAAUCUGGCGGUCUGUUUUCGCCGUCCGAGUUGUAAUCUAGAGAAGCGUGUUCCAGCGCUGGACCGUGUACAAGUCUCCUGGAAGGGAGCAUCAUAGAGGGUGAGAAUCCCGUCUUUGACACGGACCCCAGUGCGGUGCGAUGCGCUCUCGACGAGUCGAGUUGUUUGGGAAUGCAGCUCAAAACGGGUGGUAAAUUCCAUCUAAAGCUAAAUAUUGGCGAGAGACCGAUAGCGAACAAGUACCGUGAGGGAAAGAUGAAAAGAACUUUGGAAAGAGAGUUAAACAGUACGUGAAAUUGCUGAAAGGGAAACGCUCGAGGUCAGUCGCGUCGUCCGGGGAUCAACCUUGCCCUCGCGGCGGGGUGUACUUCCUGCUCGACGGGUCAGCGUCAGUCUCGCUCGGCGUACAAGGGCGGGGGGAAGGUGGCACUCUUUGGGGUGUGUUAUAGCCUUUCGCCGGAUGCGUCGCCCGGGACUGAGGGACUCGGCACGGCCCCCAGCGGGUC